rnacentral:lncRNA from 1 species
AUGAAUCACUCCCUGAUGGCUACAGAUCAUCAAUUUUCUGAUUCUCUCUUUCUUUUGACACUGACAUUCUUCUCUGAAGAAGAGCUUCCUUUACUCCCUGGGAUGAACANGUACUUCUCAAAAGGUGUCAUGCUUGCCUCCAGUGGUGAGAAGUUGGCCACUCUCUCCCCUUCCUCCCUCCCUUCUUUCCUUCCUUAUUCUUUCUUUCCUUCUUUCUUUUCUUCCAGUUAUUUCUUUCCUUCGCUUUUUAUUUUUUUUUAUUAUGCUGAAGGGCCCAUGAUUUUAUAUGUAUUGCCUGUUGUGUUCAAAUCUUUGAGCACUUCCUUCUUUCUCACACAAGACAUCCCAGGCCCACUCCAGGCUGCCCCUGCUCCAGAUCUACCACAGCCAACCUCUCAAAGAGCCCUGGGUAUUCGGUGUGGAUAUAGGAUUUAGAGCCUAGAAUCUGGCUCUGGGUGUGCUCCCUGCCAGGAAGGUGACAUACAUCAAUGUGCAGAAGAAAGAUUUGCAACCAGAGAGUUACUGGGGAUUGGCCAGAUCCCACAGACAGCUGUGGCAGAGUAGGGGCUGAACUCUCAGACUCCCAGCUCUCUUCUCAGGCCCUUUGGAGCGAGGAGUGAUUUCCAGCUAAGUCAGUUCUAGGUCUACGUCCCACAGCCUGUGGUUCUCCCAAGGGAGCCCUCGUCAGGCAUCCUUUUCAUAUUGGCUUCACCCUGUGGUCAUGUAAACCCUUCUGGGGUUUACUCAGAAAAUGAAUAAUUUCAAGAGCACUGGAAAAGCCCAGGCCCAGAAAUAACGCUGCUCACCCACUAGUGAUGUUGCAAAUUCCACCAUUCACUCCUAAAUAUCAAGAUUUAGAUCUCUAUUGGAGUUCCCGUCGUGGUACAGCAGAAAUGAAUCAGACUAGGAACCAUGAGGUUGCAAGUUCAAUCCCUGGCCUCACUCAGUGGGUUAAGGAUCCGGCGUUGCCAUGAGCUGUGGUGCAAGUCACAGAUGUGGCUCAGAUCUGGCGUUGCUGUGACUGUGGUAUAGGUCGGCCCCUGGAGCUCCAAUUAGACCCCUAGCCUGGGAACCUCCAUAUGCCAAGGGUGUGGCCCUGAAAAAGACAAAAAAAAAGCCAAUAAAUGAAUAAAUAAAUAAAUAGAUAAAUAGAUA